rnacentral:rRNA from 1 species
CCAGGCGUUCCCCUCUCCAGUUUCGCCCCACUCCCGAACGCCUCCGUCGCCGCUGUUGCCGUCGACCUCGCGGCCAUCAUGGCCCCCACGCCGAGCUGGGAGGUCCGGCAGAACCGCUGUCGUCUACUUCGUCUUCCUCGCCCACGAGGUCAAGCCGGGAGCCCCCACAUCGACCGGAUCGAGGUCAUCUUCAACCUCCGCCCCGCUGCUUGCCGUCUUCGAUUCGGCCUCAUCGGAACCUCCCCGAGCCCGCUUUGCUCACCUACAGGCUCGAUAGAUGUCGGAGCCCAGGAUCCAGACGCCACCUUUGACGACGACUACCACAACCCCGAGGGUGCCUACUACUACGUGGAGGACGCCAACGACCAGGAGUAGUUAGGAGGCUCCCAGGCAGGAGGCCUUGCCUUUUCGACCGUAGAUGC